AACACAUGCAAGUCGAGCGGUAAGGCCUUCGGGGUACACGAGCGGCGAACGGGUGAGUAACACGUGAGCAAUCUGCCCUUCUCUUUGGAAUAACCAUUGGAAACGAUGCUAAUGCCGAAUAUGACCCCCCUUCGCAUGUUGGGGGGUGGAAAGCUCCGGCGGAGAAGGAUGAGCUCGCGGCCUAUCAGCUUGUUGGUGAGGUAAUGGCUCACCAAGGCAUUGACGGGUAGCCGGCCUGAGAGGGUGACCGGCCACACUGGGACUGAGACACGGCCCAGACUCCUACGGGAGGCAGCAGUGGGGAAUAUUGGACAAUGGGCGAAAGCCUGAUCCAGCAACGCCGCGUGAGGGAUGAAGGCCUUCGGGUUGUAAACCUCUUUCAGCAGGGACGAAGCGAAAGUGACGGUACCUGCAGAAGAAGGACCGGCCAACUAC
rnacentral:rRNA from 1 species